GUGAUCCUGCCCUAUGAAAAAUUUUAAAUGGCCGCAGUACCCUGACUGUGCUAAGGUAGCAUAAUCAAUUGGCCUUUAAUUGAGGUCUAGAAUGAAUGGAUCAAUACGGAAGUGAUCUGUCUCCUUCAGAGUCUGUUGAAGUUAUCUUUAAGGGUGAAAAAGCCUUUAGUACGAAAAUAGACGAGAAGACCCUAAGAGUUUUAAUUAUAAGUAAAGGCUUUUACUUUUUUUUUUGCUGGGGCGGCAAAAAAACAAUUAACUUUCUUGCUUGUGUUUAUGAAGUCGACGCGAAAUUUUAUGAAGAACCAAUAAACUACCUUAGGGAUAACAGCAUAAUUAUUUUAAUGUUUGUGACCUCGAUGUUGGACUAGGAAAGCUUUAUGGCUAGCCGCCGAAAGUAUUAUGUUCUGUUCGAACACUUUAUC
rnacentral:rRNA from 1 species